UUUAUGACAUCCAAAGCUAUAUUGUUGACAGUAGCAAAUUGAAAUGUUCACAGUAAAAGUUCAGAUAUAAACUUGACACUAAGAUAAAACUUUGCUGACACCUCCCUAGCACUUAGGCACAUACCAAACAUACCCAGCCUUGUAUUUGCUUUAAGCUUAGUAAUGGUUUUUCCUUCCAAUUUUUUAAAAUUUAAUUCUCAUAUAAGGAAAAGUACCCAAAACAAAUGAGCAACUAAUAAAAUCUAACAACAUAGUCAGUUUUUUGGGUUUUUUUGUUUUUGUUUUGUUUUUUUGGUUUUUCGAAACAGGGUUUCUCUGUGUAGCCCUGGCUGUCCUGGAACUCACUUUGUAGACAGGCUGGCCUCGAACUCAGAAACCCACCUGCCUCUGCCUCCCGAGUGCUUGGAUUAAUGGCGUGCACCACCACGCCUGGCAACAUAGUCAGUUUUAUGGGCAAAAUUUAGUAUUGCCAGCACCCUAAAAGCUUGCUCCUGCUCACUGCCAACCUCCCUCUUCCUCUCUUUAAGGUGACUUGUAUCCUGAUUCCUAAUGCCACAGUUGAGUCUCAAUUGUUCUUGACCUUUAGACAAACAGAUUCACAGAAUGUUUGACUUGAUUUUUGUCUUAUUUUGGUGAAAAAAUAUUAGGAUUAGGGAGAAUCUUCACUGUUGUCCAAAACUGCUUAGCUUAGUGAUCCAUGUCUUAGUGCUAUACAGUGAUUCAUUCUGAUCUGUGGGUUUUAAGUAGUUCCCAUUGUUGUCCUGCUGUGAAGAAUGCUGUUUAUUCUCUGUUCAUACUCUCUAGGCAGAUGUAGUCUUAAUGACUAUACAAUAUAUUCUUAGUAGACUCUGUGGCUCAACCCUUAAAAAAAAUGGUGUGGUGGUAAGUUGGUUUCUAGCCCUGGAGGUGUUCUCACUGCUCAUCCUUGCCAUUAUCUGUUCAAUUCAGCUCUGUUUUUCACAUUACAAUAACUAUGUGCUUAUAACUUGAUAGAUAGUUUAUAGCUUAUAGCUUAUAGUUUGUACUUUGAUGACUAUGAAUGGGCUAAGGCACCCUCUGUGCGCUAACCCUCUUGACAGUUACCAGUUUGGAUUCCUUGCUCAUUUUAUAGUAGAUUUCCUUUUUUGUUUACAAUUUCUACAAACAUUCUCUUCUACAUCCUGGGUAUAGAGUAACUUGUCUGUUUUAAAGUUAUUUUUGAUGAGUAGAAAUUCUUAACUAAAAAGUUUUUUUUUUAAUCUUUUCCUACUAUAGUUCAUUUACAGUCUAUUUGCAUUAACUUUUCUGUGAUAAUAGUAUUUUUCCUACUCUGUUCCCUUAGUAACCUCAUACUGUUUUCUAUUCUUUUUACUGUUACACCAGAUGAUAUAAGUGUCAGUGUGUUCACACAUUAAUGUUGUGUUAUUGCAGGCCAUGUGAAGAACUUGAACUAUUCAAGUUUCAUUUACUCAUCACGAAAUUUUAUUUACCUAUUGUGCUGUCAAUCCUACAUUGUUUUACUGUCAGUUACUAAAAUCAGUGUUUAAUCUCACGUGUGUCUAUUUGUGCUUGCUGCUCUUUCUUUCAUCCUACGUUUCUGUGUGUCCAUGUGGCUAGUGUACUUUGUGGUUUUGAGGGCUUUGUUUAGUUGUUUAGGAGUUUGAUUUUGUUUGGUACAUCAGACACCGUUAUUACCUUAAAGUGAUGGAGAUCUCAAUUUUUGUUCAUCUGAAAGUCCAAGACUUCAAUUUCAGAAAUAUAGUUUGGAUUGGCAGCUGCUUUCCUUCAGCAUUUUGAAGUAGCAUCUGUUGUUUUCUGGCUCCCAUUGUCACAAUUGAGACAUGAACUGUACACUUACUAUUCUUUGCACUGCCUCUGCUGAUAGCUGCAGUUGGGACCUUUGCCUUCUCAUGGUUUUCUGUUCUACUAGGUUUUAUAAGGUAUGAGGCUUGUAAUUUUGUUUCAUUUGUAGCUCUGGUUUACAUUUAUGGGUCAUAUUAAAAUAGAUUGAUUUUCCUUCAGUUUUGGAAUAUUCUGUAUAGUUAGUUUUUUAUUUGCCCGUUUCUGGCAUCAGUUUUGGGACUUUGGUUUUAUUUUGACUACUGUGCCUCUUUAGUCUCACAUCUUCCUGCAGGUUAUCUUGUUGUCUUGCUGUUCUCCAAGUAUUGUCAUUCGUCUUGACAAUCUUCUCUUCAGCUGUGUCUAGUCAGUGAAACCUGUCCCUGAAUUCCUACUCUACUUCAAUGUUUCUCAGUUUUACUGUUUCUUUUCUUUCAUAUUCUCUGUUAAAGUAGCAGUAUUGAUUUUGUAUCUUUGAACAUGUUUAAAAUGGGUAUUUCAAAGUUUCUCUGUAGUGACUCUGUGAUCUGGGUCUUCCCUGGUUCUCUCUCUGAAUCAUCUUUUACAUCUUGUCAUGUUCACAUUCAUUUUUUUCUUGAUAUACAUUGAUGUUUUUAUUUUUUGGUUUUUUGUUUAUUUGUUUGUUUAGAGAAUAGUGAAAAAGUUACCUCCCCCCAAAAAAUUGGAAAUUUAUGACUAAUAUUCUGUUCUUCCAAAAAGGAUUGAACCUUGCUCAGUUAAGGCAAUCACAAUACAUGCAUAUACAUAAGUAAGUAUAUAUGAAUGAGUACACUGUAGCUGUCUUCAUAUACGCCAGAAGAGGACAUUAGAUCCCAUUGCAGAUGGUUUUGAGCCAUCAUGUGGUUGCUGGGAAUUGAAUUCAGGACCUCUGGAAAAGCAGUUAGUAUUCUUAACCCCUGAACCAUCUUGCCAGCCCCAAUCCCAAAUGUUUUUAAUUCAUUUCCAGGGUUUUAGGCUUUCUUCCAAUCUACAUUUGGUUCAUUAUUAUCUUCAGAAUAAAGUCAGAGUCCCAAAGCAAAACAUUAACGUUUAAUUGGAUUUAACUCUAUUUUAUUCUUGUUACCUCAAAGCACUGAAGGGCUUAUUUCAGCUCCCUGUGCCCUGUCUGCCCUUGCUAACUGUCAUCAGCAGGGAGAGUCUCCUAGUUGCCUCAGAAUUUCGUUAUCAUCACAUUACUUUAAGAAAAGAUCCUCACAGAUUUCUCACGUAUUCUUACAACAUUGUUCUCACUUAGCAUGGUUGGUGUUGUUUUGUUUCCAGCUGGCAUUGAGGCCACGAACCAUUCCUGUGACCAGUGUACAAAUGCCACUCACUUACUGUGGAAAGGGAUGUGAUCUAGACCCAGAGAGCUCUCAAACUGGCUUCAGGGCUUUCCCUGUUAGAAAAAUUGGGUUGCACUAACAGUUACAGACAGGUGUAGUUAAAUGCUACUAUCUAUGGUCAGACAGACUGACUUUUGAACACUGACAUUCUUGCCUGAUGAUUUAGACUAGGUAAGCCAAUUAAUCUCUUCAAGAAAAGGUGACAGCCUUCAACUUUGUAAAUUAAAAACUUACACACAGGUAUUUUCAUACCAAUGAUUAAAGUCUUGGUGACAAAUUCAGAUUCAAAGAGAGAAAAAGUGAAUAUGAGGCCAGAAAGUAUCCCCAUGACACAGCUACCUUAGUUUUAGCUAAUUUUUACCAUUUGAGAAAGAAUUCCAGUUUUACUUACUCUCCCACUAUUUACUCCUGUGAGUAUAUCUGCUACUUCUUUAAUAGUUUUUAUUUCUUUUUUUUUGUUGUUUUUUUUGUUGUUGUUUUUUGUUUUUGUUUUUGUUUUUUUUUUUUGUUUUUUUUUUUUUUUCCGAGACAGGGUUUCUCUAUAUAGCCCUGGCUGUCCUGGAACUCACUUUGUAGACCAGGCUGGCCUCGAACUCAGAAAUCCGCCUGCCUCUACCUCCCAAGUAAUGGGAUCAAAGGUGUGCGCCACCACACCCAGUUUUUAUUUCUUAAAAAGAAAAUAAGAGUUAUAAAUCAAAAAAAUUGCAGGCCAACUUAAUUAUUAGUAAGUAAAUGGGCCCCACAGUGCCUUUGUCACCUGGCUAGCCUAAGUUGUCAGGUGCUGUAGCUUCCUUCAGUAGAACAAACCAUGAACAGAAGGAGAUUGUGUGCUGUAACUUGUGCACAUGCCUGUGAGAUAAUGAACCAGUUUCAGCAGCCAUAGACAAUCACUUUCUGUAUUCUGUAUUCCCAUGAGAAACACAGCUGUUAGAAACUCAUUCCCUGGGGUCAGGGCUGAACAGUCUAUGAAUUUAUCAAGUCUUAAAAGGGAGUGGGGGGACAGUUUGAUU
rnacentral:lncRNA from 1 species